GACGAACGUUGGCGGCGUGCUUAAUACAUGCAAGUCAACUGAAGCACCGGUAGUAAUACUGGUGUGGAGGUGGCGCACGGGUGAGUAACACGUAGGUAAUCUGCCUUCAGGUCUGACAUAACCCCGAGAAAUCGGGGCUAAUAGCAGAUGAUGCAGCGGCUUGACAUCAAGACAGUUGUUAAAGCUUCGGCGCCUGAAGAUGAGCCUGCGUCUGAUUAGCUAGUUGGCGGAGUAAUAGCCCACCAAGGCGACGAUCAGUAGCUGGUCUGAGAGGAUGAUCAGCCACACUGGAACUGAGACACGGUCCAGACUCCUACGGGAGGCAGCAGUAAGGAAUAUUGCUCAAUGGGAGAAAUCCUGAAGCAGCAACGCCGCGUGAGGGAUGAAGGGCUUUUGCUCGUAAACCUCUGUAGUGAGGGAAAAAUUUCCAUUCUAUGGAAUAUGAUGGUA
rnacentral:rRNA from 1 species